rnacentral:rRNA from 1 species
UAGGGAAUCUUCCACAAAUGGGCGCAAGCCUGAUGGAGCAACACCGCGUGAGUGAAGAAGGGUUUCGGCUCGUAAAGCUCUGUUGUUGGAGAAGAACGUGCGUGAGAGUAACUGUUCACGCAGUGACGGUAUCCAACCAAGAAAGUCACGGCUAACUACGUGCCAG